rnacentral:lncRNA from 1 species
AGCCUUAGAACUUGGAAUUCUCCCGUUUUAGAAGGAGCCUUCAGGCAGUCUCACUACCUAGAGCUCUGCUUCAUUGUUAAUAAUCACAGUUAACUUACCUCCACAUACGGACUCAGUCUGCCUGCAUGGUCCUGAACACGGAAAUACUUGGACACUGGUUCCUGAAGGGUGCCACCAAAUCUGGUCCCCGUCUCUGAGGAGUGAGUCCUGGAAGUCUGCAAGUACUGAUGAUAGGCACUCUUCAGAGAAGAAUGCAACUUAGAAGUCAUAUCGGAUUUUUGGAGAAACAACUCCUUUUCUGACCACCGGCCAUGCUGCAGACUGGAGGUCGUUGGUUCACUGAACUCUACAUAAGACUUGAAAAUUCCAGCGUGUUCCUGGUUGUCUUCAGGGUAAAAGGGGAUGGAAGGAUCUGGCAAGUGGAAGGUAACAUGCUCCCUCUUUUCAGUUCUCCAAUCUUUGCCCGAAGCUACAGCUUCCUCCUCCUCUUCCUCGGCCUCCUGUCUGUCAUCUCCAUCGAAGUUUCUCUGUAAGCGCUCUGACACUGACUGUAGGAGGGAUAAGACAGAAGAGGGCUGGUUUGCACUCUCCCUUGACUUGGAAGAGCCAUGGUGACCAGGCGAGACCUCACUGGACAGAACAUCCUCCUGCGAACUGUCAUCCUCAUAGAUGGGGCUCAGGGCUAAGGGAUAGAUUUUGUACCUCUUGGCUUCCACCGAUAAGAACAUCUCUGAAUUGUCUCCAUCAAAUGCCUCACCCAGUUUACCUUCUUUUUCAAAAUGAUGGACCAGGACCGUGAGACGGAACAGAAUUGAGAUCCUCAGAGGUAUCUCCAUGCUCAAAGUUUAAAGCUACCCCAGCUAACUGAGUGCCAGCAGUUUCAGGACCUGAAGGAGAUUGGCAUUUUUCACCAUGAGGAAGAAAUUCCUUGGAUUCAAGGGUUGAGGACGCAUGUCCAAGGUAAAGCGCAGGAGGAUUCUCCCUGUCUGUAGCCUCAGAAUGAGUUCCCACACCUUCUUCUUGACACUCGUUAGGGUGAGAAAAAACCUUGCCCUGUCCAGUUUUACUGGACGAAGAUCUCUCUCCCUUUAAGCCCGAGAAACCCAACUGGCCAAGCCUGUUGAUUCUAGAAGCCAAGGUAGGAGGUGAGGCACUGUAAUCAGACGUUUUACAGUCAAGGUGAAGAGGUGCCUCAGCAUCAGAGGCAACGCCGCCUUGUUGAGAAUUCUCUAAGAGAAAAGGAGAUUCAGAAGUAGGAUUUCUGUUCAGUUCAGAUUUUAGUUCAUGUGCUGUUUCACUUUCUGUGCAUGCGACAACCACCGAGUCACUGACACCCUUCACAGACCCAGGGUCCUCUUGAGUUUUUCCCAUCUCGUGAGGAGUUUUGACAUGUAGUUCCAAACCAAGCCUUUUGGUUUCUGUUUCACACGGUGGCUCCGGUGGCUCCGUUUCUUUGGGUAAGGACUCAAUUCUGACUUCGGGAGUUCUUACAUGACUUAAAGUUGUGGGCUCCCUGCCUGAGGCACAUUCUGUUUCUUUCAAGAUUUCUGAAACCAUAUUUUUCUGCGAGUCUCGGGCAGGUAACUUCUUUCCUUCAUUUACAAGUUCUGAGUCUGUCACAGCAUGUCCCUGGAGAGCCAUAAUGCAGGCGUGAUUGACAGUCCGCCUUGAUGGGUUAUCUACAGCUGGCUUGUCACCACACUUAUGCUCUGGCAACCGUGCAUCUUCAUGCCUAAUUGAUUUAUGUGGACUUGACAAAUUUGUACUUUCCAUUUUGGUAGUGUCACUCCCAUCAGAUUUACUGCGGGAGAAGUCAGGAACAGAAGGCCUCUGAGGCCGAGCCGGCUCCUCUCCCGGCACUGAUGGCAGCCCAUCAGUCACCGCAGAGCUGUUUACUCUCGGUGGACUGUCGGUUGGAGUUUUCCUCUGAAAUUCUGGACAAGGGCCUUGGCUACUUUUGCUUCCUCUAAACACUGAUGAGCAUACUAAAACACUCUCCGUUUGUGAGUCAGGCUCUCCAACAACAUAGCUGGGGUUAGACACGGAAGAGGGGGAGGCCCAACUGCUCCUGAGGCCUCCAUGGCUAUUUUUAUUUAAAAUGCACUUAGAUGAAGCAAUAUCCUGCAGUCCUGGGACGCUUUCCUGAUGGCUUUCUCGGUUGGUAUUUAUUUGGCUAUAACCAGAGGCUUCUAAUGGACCUCCAAGCAAAUAUCCUUUUGUGGCUACGUCUUUGCUGUCUGUUGACAAUGGGACCGUCACAGUGUCCCUUAUGCUUCUGGAGCCAGCAUGUGCCUGGGGACUUGAGUCAGAGCUUCCAUCUUCUCCGUCUAAGUGAUUCAUAGUCUCCAACACAGGCUGUUGCUGCAAAUACUUCCUGAUUUGUGUGGCGCCUCGGAGGCAUCUUGAUGGCGUUCUAGAAGAACUGGAGAACCAAUUGCAGCAGGAAAUUCGUCAUAUUUUCUCCAUCUAACGGGACAUGAAGAAUAUACCUCCAAAAGCUCAGAGAUAAGACAGGCUGCUUUGUAGCCCUUUGUAAAUAAACACCGAACGGCUUGGAAGGGCAUUUCACUAACCACUUAUCGAAUAUUGUACGAGGAGCAAGCUGAAAAUAAUGGUAAGAAUAUGAUGAUGCAAAACGAUUUCAAGUGAGUAUUUUAAGUUGGUGGCCACAUUAGAAGAAAGAUUAUAGUUUUAUUUAUUGUUCUUUUUUUUGUGAAGGCUUCAGAGCCCUGAGACAGGAGGCAGGUAUAUCCACGGUGACCACAGACCCAUGAUCACGGCAUGGUGCAGCAACUGGAAAGAGGAAGCACCAGUCACUCAGAUCAGAUAAAGAGCAGUCCCAGAGUAAUCCACACAAGUUUCAAGUGUGAAGAGGUGUACCGUGAAGGCCUCCCUGGUCCCCAGCCCUCAGCUCCACCCCAUCUACAGAGAGCGGGCAACAUGGCUCUAGCAACACCUCUUCAUCUCCUCCCCUUCUCUGCUGUCUUCUUUUCAAAUGUACCUUGGAGAUGUCUCCUUAAGGCACACAUUCUUUCCAACAGGAAAAUACAGAUUGUGAUCAUUCGAGCUUGUGGAAAGUUGUGCCAAAUCAAUUCCUAAAUUUUGGACCACUAGACAUGUUCCAGGUUGUAAUUACUGUUUUUUAUGUGGGAGACCUUUUCUUGGCUACCCACUAUUGCAAGCAAAGUCAC